AAUAGUGGAUCCUGAAGGAAGACGCGCCCCUGCGGUCGCCAUAGUAACGGCGUCGCGGCGUUCCAAGCCGGGCUUGCGCGCGCACGUACGCGCACACACGAAGGAAUGCUGCUUUCCUUGGGGAAUCGCGAGGCUCCGGCAACCGCGUGCUCGGGCGCACUACGGGGGCCGCGAAGGGCCAACAGCGGGGUCGCCUUGGGAACGUAAGAACGCACAGUAGGCCGGAGCCACGAUGGACGUCCGUCUCGGCGGUCCCACCGCAAUGGGGCCCCAUCUCUCCACCCCAGGGCGUCCUUCUGGGUGUCGAAGGGGACGCUCUGUGGGUCGUGCAGAGCUGGGCCCGCCACACACCCGAGGGAUCGCGGGCGUGAGAGGCUUGAGGCAGGGAGCCGCCCCGCUUAGCCCUACGGCCAGCUCUCCAGCCCCUCAAUGGAAAACCCAAAAGCCAAAAUCCUUGUAACACCUGCAUAGUCAGAAUGGAUUCCCAUGGUGGCCCUACCCAAGCAUGUGACACUUGACACUCAUCCCACAGGCCCAAGGCCUUUCCAGUACUGCAUCCGCUGGUCCUGAGAAAUGAAGCCACAGGAUCCUGAAAUGCAUAAUUUUCUUCAAUCACCUUGUUUUGCUUGUUAUUUUCAUAUAAAUAUCUUGAGUGAUUUUGUGGGAA